rnacentral:siRNA from 1 species
UAACGUCCUGCCAAACCCGU